CCAUCCAAAACAAGACCCUUUGAGCUCUCCUGCACCACAGCAGGCUGUGACCAGCUCCUCCAUCUGAGUGGGGCGCCUCUCACAGCCAUCCCGCUCUCAAGUUUGCCAUGCUCGAAGGAUCGUCAAUGAUGGAUCGAUCCAUAACCCCACUUCUCAGGGCUCAAGCCUUUGGCUUUGAUGCAAAGGCAUCUGAAAUCAUGAAAGGAAGUGAGUAAAAGAAGAGAAUGCUCAUAUGCAGAAAAACCCCACAUCUGUGCAGGAGAGGAAAAAAGAUGAUCCGAUCCAUGUUUGAAGAUGAUACCUGGGACUAUUCCACUAUCUGCUACUCUGGACAGUGAGGCAGCUGUAGGUAUGCAAAGGAUUGGAAGUGGAAAGAGCCAGGAGAGUUGUGCCCAGCUGACCAAAGAGGUAUUCCAUACCAUGCUCAGCAUACAGAGCUGGAGGAAGAUUAAGGAAGAUGGGGAGACUGCUAUGUUUGGAGCUACACCUUUUGACUUCACAAGUCACUGCUACAUGUGAUGGAGCCCUGCUUUCCUGGGGAGGGCCGAACACCUACCUGGU